rnacentral:rRNA from 1 species
AUUGAACGCUGGCGGCAGGCCUAACACAUGCAAGUCGAACGGUAACAGGGAUCAGCUUGCUGAUUCGCUGACGAGUGGCGGACGGGUGAGUAAUGUCUGGGAAACUGCCUGAUGGAGGGGGAUAACUACUGGAAACGGUAGCUAAUACCGCAUAACGUCGCAAGACCAAAGAGGGGGACCUUCGGGCCUCUUGCCAUCGGAUGUGCCCAGAUGGGAUUAGCUAGUAGGUGGGGUAACGGCUCACCUAGGCGACGCUCCCUAGCUGGUCUGAGAGGAUGACCAGCCACACUGGAACUGAGACACGGUCCAGACUCCUACGGGAGGCAGCAGUGGGGAAUAUUGCACAAUGGGCGCAAGCCUGAUGCAGCCAUGCCGCGUGUAUGAAGAAGGCCUUCGGGUUGUAAAGUACUUUCAGCGGGGAGGAAGGGAGUAAAGUUAAUACCUUUGCUCAUUGACGUUACCCGCAGAAGAAGCACCGGCUAACUCCGUG